rnacentral:lncRNA from 1 species
GGCAAAGAAAUAACAAAUGGCUCCCAAGCAGUUGGACAUGGGAUCGACCGGGAUCACAAAGACAUUCCUUAUGUACAUGGCAGGCCCUUCUGAAUAAACUACCUAUAAUAGACAAUAUGAAAAGAAGAGGUAUCCAUCAUGUUAACCGAUGCUCCCUUUGCAUGCAACAAGAAGAAACUGUUGACCAUCUCUAUUUUGCUUUUGACUAUACUAAAUGGAUAUGGAAGGAGAUUCUCCAACGAUUCGAACUCAAUAGAAUGCCGCAACCAAACUUGCAUCAAGAAUUAGCUGACCUCAUGCAAUGUUUUUCAAGAAAAGGGCCUCUUACACAAUUGACAAAGGUUAUAUUCAGAUGCGCUAUUUGGUGGAUGUGGAAGGAAAGAUGUAGCAGAAUCUUUGAGUGUCAACACACAAACAAUACUCAGCUCUUGACAGAGAUUAUUAGAGACUCAAGAUCAUGUAUGGAGAA